rnacentral:rRNA from 1 species
CAAUAGCGUAUAUUAAAGUUGUUGCGGUUAAAAAGCUCGUAGUUGGAUUUCUGCUGAGAACGACCGGUCCGCCCUCUGGGUGUGUAUCUGGCUCUUUCUUGGCAUCUUCUUGGUGAACGUUGCUGCACUUGACUGUGUGGAGCGCUACCCAGGACUUUUACUUUGAGGAAAUUAGAGUGUUUCAAGCAGGCAUACGCCUUGAAUACAUUAGCAUGGAAUAAUAAGAUAGGACCUCGGUUCUAUUUUGUUGGUUUCUAGAGCUGAGGUAAUGAUUAAUAGGGAUAGUUGGGGGCAUUCGUAUUUAACUGUCAGAGGUGAAAUUCUUGGAUUUAUGAAAGACGAACCUGCGAAAGCAUUUGUCAAGGAUGUUUUCAUUAA